rnacentral:snoRNA from 1 species
ACCAAUUCUGGGGGAUAAAUGGUUCCUCUUGGUAUAAUGGCUCGGGCGCAAUAUCGCAGUGUGGUUAUCCUGGUCAAUGGCCUCUCUGUUCUCUAUGCCAUCCGAUCCUGGACACGCCACAUACAUAC